rnacentral:sRNA from 3 species
UAUAUCUGAAGCCUGACGAGGAUGAGAACCUCCGGGGGCAAGAGGUUCGACUCGAGCGAAGCGAGAGAACGUUGCGUCAGCAACGGCCCGCAGGGCGAGCCACGCAGUGGCGAGUCAUCCUCUAUCACCGACCA